CACGUAGGGCGCAAGCGUUGUCCGGAAUCAUUGGGCGUAAAGAGCGUGUAGGCGGCCUGGUAAGUCCGCUGUGAAAGUCCAGGGCUCAACCCUGGAAUGCCGGUGGAAACUGUCAGGCUCGAGUCCGGAAGAGGCGAGUGGAAUUCCUGGUGUAGCGGUGAAAUGCGCAGAUAUCAGGAGGAACACCAAUGGCGAAGGCAGCUCGCUGGGACGGUACUGACGCUGAGACGCGAAAGCGUGGGGAGCGAACAGG
rnacentral:rRNA from 1 species